UGCUUUCACUAGCGAGCUCAGGUGUCAGUUCAGAGAGCAACUUCAAUGUUCUCUAAUAUCUGAUUGACCCAUAGAGAAUUUUUAUUGAUGUUCUAGUACUGCAUACUAAUGUAUUUUCAAUGCAUAUUUUAUAGCUUAGGGUGUGAAAUAUUCAUUUUGUGCAGCUUGCGAUCAUCAACUAUUUAACUCUGGUGAAAUUUAUGGUGUUGUGGAACGAUUGAAGUUAGUACAAAGUCGAGACACUUAUAUUGAGAUGGACGGAUUAUAAGUUUACUUACAGUUGAACUGAACCUCAAAUGUAGAAAGCAGAUGGUGGUCAAGAAUCGGAAAAUGCUCAUGCUUGAAAUAGCAAUGUGACCAAGCAAGGUGGUACUGAAUCACGUGUAUAACUUCCUGUGUCACUAAGCACAUCAAGAAAAUACAUUUGUAGGCAGUAUGUUUGGCAAAGUAUCUUGGUUUUUUAGGUCAAAAAGCCAAAGCUGACCACUCCAACACAACCUAAGACAUUGGUGCUCCAAGACAACCUCAAGACAUUUCUACGGCUAGCUGAGAGUUUAGAAUUGGAACACAUUGUAGGAGCAAGCAACAACUACGCAAGAAUUAGUCUUUAAAUGAACACAUAUUAUGUAUAAUGUAUGGAAAGUUUAGUUCUACUUUGUAGUAUAUAUAUUCUCUUAAUUAUUUACAUCUUUCA